GGAGACUCCAGGUGCAGGAGAGGGGGAGGUGGACUUCCUCUUGGUCUUCCCAAAUUCUUCAGGAGACUCUAGUCAUGACAUUUCCCGGCUUGGUGGUAACAGAAGAGUCUCCUCCAGUUCCCUUGAAGAAUCCACCUUCCUGCAGGGUUGGGGGAGCGCAGAAUGGGAGGAAGAUACAAAUACCAAUUUUAUAGCAAGAAUGCAAAAAGAGGCCAGCGCGGUGGCUCGAGCCUGGAAUCCCAGCACUUUGGAAGGCGAGCUGGGCGGAUCACUUGAGAUGUGACCAGGUGACCCCCCUCUGGCCAGGGAACAAUGGGCCGAAGUCCUCAGGGGAUUUGUGGGGAAGUGCGCCCCCUCCUCCUUGGGGUUUUCUUGGAGCUGCUGUGAAGACUCAGCUCAGCUGUGAUAAUUAUCUGAGGUCAGCUUCUCCAGAAUGCCCUUAUCUCCUAAGGCCUUUGAGAUAAGCAGGAAUUGUGGUGUCCGCCUUGCCUCCAAACCUUUAUCCUUGCUUAUCUCAGUGGAAAAUUCCAGCAGGGAUUUCUGAACACCAAGUUAAAUUCCUCCACUCAACAAUCAGUUUGGCACGUGGCUGCCCGCCAGUCUAGGCAGAACAGAGGGGAGCCAAGGGAAUAAACCCAAGUCCUGCCCCCAGGUGCCCAGAGCCUGGCGGGGAUGGGACAGUUGCCUGCAGAGCAAGAGGCUGCCACCCAGUUUCACACAGGCCAGAGAGGCUGACCUACCUGCCCAGAGGCAGGGGAAGAAUCCAGAGGACUUCUCCCGGAGGAGGCACGAGAAGCCCACGUGGCAGCCAAGAGGAGGGAGAGCAUCCUGGGCCCCGGAAGCACAAUGCCAGGGGCAGACAUGCACUGGGAGGCACGGGGCCGGGGACACCUUCAGUGAGCACAGGGUCUGGGUAGGCUUCGGGAGGGGUGAGGGCGGAGAGGCAGCCAAGCCGGGUUGUGGGAGGCCCUGCCUAAUUCUGUAAAGACUAGGAUUAGAAACAUGACAAAAAUGGGCUAGGCACGGUGGCUCACACCUGUAAUCCACUUUGGGAGGCUGAGGCUGGUGGAUCAUCUGAGGCUGGGAGUUCAAGACCAACCUGGCCAACAUGGUGAAACCCCGUCUCUACUAAAAAUACAAAAAUUAGCUGGGCGUGGUGGCGCACACCUAUUAAUCCCAGGUACUAAGGAGGUUGAGGCAGGAGAAUUGCUUCAACCCAGGAGGCAGAGGUUGCAGUGAGCCCAGACCAUGCCACUGCACUCCAGCCUGGGCAACAGAACAAGUCUCUGUCUGAAAAAUAAAAUAAAAUAACAAAAA
rnacentral:antisense_RNA from 1 species